GACCACGUAGCUCAGUUGGCAGAGCAUUGGCUAGCAUUCCAAAGGUCCUAGGUUCGAUUCCCACCGUGGUCA